rnacentral:rRNA from 1 species
GACGAACGCUGGCGGCGUGCUUAACACAUGCAAGUCGAACGGAAAGGCCCUGCUUUUGUGGGGUGCUCGAUUGGCGAACGGGUGAGUAACACGUGAGUAACCUGCCCUUGACUUUGGGAUAACUUCAGGAAACUGGGGCUAAUACCGGAUAGGAGCUCCUGCUGCAUGGUGGGGGUUGGAAAGUUUCGGCGGUUGGGGAUGGACUCGCGGCUUAUCAGCUUGUUGGUGGGGUAGUGGCUUACCAAGGCUUUGACGGGUAGCCGGCCUGAGAGGGUAACCGGCGACAUGGGGACUGAGAGACGGCCCAGAAUCCUACGGGAGGCAGCAGUGGGGAAUAUUGCACAAUGGGCGGAAGCCUGAUGCAGCAACGCCGCGUGCGGGAUGACGGCCUUCGGGUUGUAAACCGCUUUCGCCUGUGACGAAGCGUGAGUGACGGUAAUGGGUAAAGAAGCACCGGCUAACUACGUG